GAUGAACGCUAGCGGCAGGCUUAACACAUGCAAGUCGAGGGGCAGCGGGAGGUAGCAAUAUCUUGCCGGCGACCGGCGCAAGGGUGCGUAACGCGUGAGCAACAUGCCCGUCACAGGAGGAUAAACCAUGGAAACGUGGCCUAAUACUCCAUAGUAUAUUAAUAAGGCAUCUUAUUACUAUUAAAGCUACGGUGGUGACGGAUUGGCUCGCGUGACAUUAGCUAGAUGGAGAGGUAACGGCUCACCAUGGCGACGAUGUCUAGGGGAACUGAGAGGUUUAUCCCCCACACUGGUACUGAGACACGGACAGACUCCUACGGGAGGCAGCAGUGAGGAAUAUUGGACAAUGGAUGGAAAUCUGAUCCAGCCAUGCCGCGUGCAGGAU
rnacentral:rRNA from 1 species